GACAGGGCCUCAUUGUUUACAUGAGGGCACCAGGGUUGAACUGACGUGUGCAUUCAUCUUUAAUGUUCACGCUCAAAAUAUGAACCUGCGAGGACUGUGUUGACAGACACACACCUACCUUCUCACUCACUCGCUUUCUUUCUUUUUUUCCUCUCUUUUGCUUCACACUUGCAUUGCCGUGCUGCCGGGUUGGACUGAGGGAUUACAGGCGUCUGCUGGUUGGAAGAAGUGGAAAGACAUGAUAAAUAGAGAAAGUGUGAUGCAGGUUUUGCAAAGAGGCUGUUACUGAAGGGUCAGGCAGAUAAAAACUAUACUGGACUUGAUUGAAAACCUCUAAAUGUCUGAACAAGUCAACUCAGCGGAGAAGCACAGAUGCUGCUGCCCUCUAGUCUAGUUUGGUGAAAAUGAGGAAACAAACGGCAGAUGAGAAUCUCAUUCUGUUU
ensembl:lncRNA